rnacentral:lncRNA from 1 species
AAGGCUGGUCUAUGUUGAAGCAGGCCAAGAUCAGGGAUGUUCUUCUCAGCAAAGAGAGCUUCUGUAUCUGCCCCACAAUGGAUAGUCUUAAGGAGUUGCCCAGAGCACUGAAAGUUUUGGGGAGCGUCAUUAAAUACAGCUGGCUGAGGUCAAAGAAAUACAGUCAUUUUGGUGAUAAUAAAGUCCUGCAAAUAAAAUCAACGUCCAUUGAUUGGAAACUGGCUAAACAAAAGGUGGGACGUGAAUGCCAUUUCUAUGCUAUAAGAAAUGAAUAUGAAGUAUUCUGAGAAGUACCAGAAGACUUAAGUGAACUGAUGCAACAUGAAACAAGUACAGCCAGGACACAAUAUACACAAGGACUACAACACAAAUGGAAAGAGCAAAAACCUGCAAUUGCAUGUUAUGUAAUUAUAGUGCCACAACUUGACCCUGAAGAAGAGACGAGUAAAUCUAUCUUUCCCCUUUUUUUCCCUUGGAGAAGGGAAGGUUCAGAGGAAACACAAGAGCUCCCCUGAAGUAUCUGAAGCUCUCUCUGUUUUUUGAUGGGGGAUAUGGAUGAGGAAUCAUGUACAUUCUGUUGAUUGCUGGUUUCACUGUAUUUUUUUUCUCCAUUUUUUGAUUUUUUGUUACAAUGGAUGAUUUGUUGGAUAGGGGUGGUACAUGAAAGUAGAAAAUGAUGAUGAUGUCAAAACAAAAGGAAUGAAUAAAUUAUAAUUUAAAGAAUAGAAAACAACUGUUUGGUAUUACAAGCAGAUGAUAGGAUUAGAGCCAAUGGUCUAAUCAAAGAAAUUACCUCAGUUUGCUCUCACUCACAUGAGACCACUGUAUACCAGAAAGUCAAUACCUCAAUAGCUAGGGGAAAAAGGUCUUUAGAAUAAUCAUCAUCAUCUUUAUCAUCAUCA